rnacentral:rRNA from 1 species
CAGUCGCCGCGGUAAUACGUAGGUGGCAAGCGUUGUCCGGAUUAACUGGGCGUAAAGGGCGCGUAGGCGGGUCUUUAAGUCAGGGGUGAAAUCCCAAGGCUCAACCUUGGAACUGCCUUUGAUACUGGAAGUCUUGAGUCCGGGAGAGGUGAGUGGAACUGCGAGUGUAGAGGUGAAAUUCGUAGAUAUUCGCAAGAACACCAAUGGCGAAGGCGGCCCACUGGCCCGGUACUGACGCUGAGGCGCGAAAGCGUGGGGAGCAAACAGGAUUAGAUACCCCAGUAGUCCCUGUCUCUUAUAC